CUGAGUUAGGGUCUUCUACGGCCCGAUCUCCAACCCUUUGUUAAUUCUACCACGUUGCUUCGGCGGGCCCGCUCCUCUGGGAGCCGCCGGAGGACCACUAUGGUUCUCUGGCCCGUUUGCCCGUCGAUGGCCUCGAACUUCUAAACUCUUGAUAAAUUAUGUUGUCUGAGUCUAAAUGUUAAAUCGUUUUA
rnacentral:misc_RNA from 1 species